GGGCCGGUAGCUCAGCUAGGCAGAGCAGCGGACUCUUAAUCCGUCGGUCGGGGGUUCAAAUCCCCUCCGGCCCG
rfam:Archaeoglobus sulfaticallidus PM70-1, complete genome.